AUACGGAGGGGACAAGCGUUAUUCGGAAUCACGGGGCGUAAAGGACGCGUAGGCGGGUUAUUAAGUCGGGUGUGAAAUCCAAUGGCUCAACCAUUGAACUGCAUUCGAAACUGAUAACCUAGAGUAUGGAAGGGGCAGGUGGAAUUAGUGGUGUAGGGGUAAAAUCCGUAGAUAUCACUAGGAAUACCGAAAGCGAAGGCGACCUGCUGGGACAUUACUGACGCUGAGGCGUGAAAGCGUGGGGAGCAAACAGGAUUAGAAACCCGAGUAGUCC
rnacentral:rRNA from 1 species